rnacentral:rRNA from 1 species
GACGAACGCUGGCGGCGUGCUUAACACAUGCAAGUCGAACGGAAAGGCCCUGCUUUUGUGGGGUGCUCGAGUGGCGAACGGGUGAGUAACACGUGAGUAACCUGCCCUUGACUUUGGGAUAACUUCAGGAAACUGGGGCUAAUACCGGAUAGGAGCUCCUGCUGCAUGGUGGGGGUUGGAAAGUUUCGGCGGUUGGGGAUGGACUCGCGGCUUAUCAGCUUGUUGGUGGGGUAGUGGCUUACCAAGGCUUUGACGGGUAGCCGGCCUGAGAGGGUGACCGGCCACAUUGGGACUGAGAUACGGCCCAGACUCCGACGGGAGGCAGCAGGGGGGAAGAUUGAACAAUGGGCGGAAGCCUGAUGCAGCAACGCCGCGUGCGGGAUGACGGCCUUCGGGUUGUAAACCGCUUUCGCCUGUGACGAAGCGUGAGUGACGGUAAUGGGUAAAGAAGCACCGGGUAAAUACGUG